rnacentral:lncRNA from 1 species
AACUGGAUCUGGCCGGACGUAUUAUUCUACCGGCUGUACGAAAUUUGACAAACUGUUCAAGUCGCGCCAGGCGGACAAGGUCGCCGACGAGGACACGGAGGAACAGUACAAGGAGGCGUGGGCUGGCAUGGUCUGGAGCAAGGUCCUCUGCCGCCUGCUGGUAUGCCUGCACAUGGGUCCAAAUGAAACGUGUUGGGUGUGAGAACGUCGUUUCGGUGACAGAGCUCAUUGGAGCUCGUAAAUUUUGAAAAAUUCAAAAUUUAAAUUUCUGGUUUCAGAAAAAUAUGAAAAAAUUGUGCAAGUAAACAAGGAUGUUUUGAAGGCCUCGUCGAGAUGUAUUCGUCUAAUCAAAUUAAUGGUUUAUGAGAUAAAACCAGUUUUGAAAUCAAAAUUAGAAAAUAAUUUGAUAAUCUCAAUAACUCUGCAUCAACACAAGAUAUUAGAAGAAGAAAAAUCUUGGUGUAAAAAUUUAGUAAUAUUUUCGAAUUCCUUUUCUUAACGUGACCUUAUUCCGAAGAGGAGAAAGGAGUACUUGUCCUGUACUUACAUGGACUAGGUGGUGGGUAUGCGUAAGCUUGAGGUGCGUCUUCUCCGACUACCACCAGCGGCCCCGCAUAUAGCAGCAUGGCCGCGAGCAACAGGGCUGGGAGCAAGCCACUUGCCCACCUCGACAUGUCGCCGGAUCAAUCUCCCCAGCUGGAUUGAGCUUUCUCCUCUUGUGCGAGAGGCAAAGAGUUGGCUGUUUUAUUAUGCUCU